UACAGAGGGUGCAAGCGUUGUUCGGAAUUAUUGGGCGUAAAGCGCGUGUAGGCGGCUUUGCAAGUCGGGUGUGAAAUCCCUCGGCUCAACCGAGGAAGUGCGCCCGAAACUGCAGAGCUUGAGUACCGGAGAGGAUGGCGGAAUUCCCCAAGUAGAGGUGAAAUUCGUAGAUAUCGAGAGGAACACCGGUGGCGAAGGCGGCCAACUGGACGAGUACUGACGCUGGAGACACGAAAGCGUGGGGAGCAAACAGG
rnacentral:rRNA from 1 species